UCAUAGCUCAGCUGGUAGAGCAUCUCAUUCGUAAUGAGAGGGUCGCAGGUUCGAAUCCUGUUGAU
rnacentral:tRNA from 1 species